GAUGAACGCUGGCGGCGUGCCUAAUACAUGCAAGUCGAGCGAACGGACGAGAAGCUUGCUUCUCUGAUGUUAGCGGCGGACGGGUGAGUAACACGUGGAUAACCUACCUAUAAGACUGGGAUAACUUCGGGAAACCGGAACUAAUACCGGAUGAUAUUUUGAACCGCAUGGUUCAAAAGUGAAAGACGGUCUUGCUGUCACUUAUAGAUGGAUCCGCGCUGCAUUAGCUAGUUGGUAAGGUAACGGCUUACCAAGGCAACGAUGCAUAGCCGACCUGAGAGGGGGAUCGGCCAACCUGGAACUGGGGCACGGUCCAGGCUCCUAAGGGAGGCCACAGUAGGGAAUCUUCCGCAAUGGGCGGAAGGCUUACGGGGCAACGCCGCGUUAGUGAUGAAGGUCUUCGGAUCGUAAAACUCUGUUAUUAGGGAAGAAAAUAAGUGGAAGUAACUGUGCACCUCUUGACGGUACCUAAUCAAAAAGCCACGGCUAACUUCGUG
rnacentral:rRNA from 1 species